AGAAGGGACGGCACUUCUUUAGGUCCUGUAAGGAAACCAUCCAGACACUGCCAUGUGUUGCAGAGGGGAUAUUAGCUGAGAUCUAGAAAAUACCUCCAUUCUGGGUGUUUUCAUAAUCCAGCACCCCACUGGGGGCUCAAGUCACAUCUUUCUGCCCAAUAGUACGGAUGAGAAGACCAAGGCCUAGAGGAAAGGAGAAACCUGCCAACAGCUAAUAGCAACUGCUGAAAACCCGUCCUUGGCGCCAGCAGGACCUGAAGCUGAGGUCACUUCUCUCUCUGGAAAGACUCCGAGGAUGGAAAAGUACAGCCAGCCCCCAGACUGGGAUUCCUGGAAGACAUAACUCAUCCCAGUGCCCCCUUCCCCUUGGAGUCCUUGGAGUCCCUUUCCCUAAGGAAGUCCACUUGACAGCCAGUUCGUGGAGCCAGUGGCGGUGAAGAAAGAGAUCAACUGAUUGUUCGUGCAAAGUCCCUUUUGGAAAACAGAGCCCCUGACCGAGAUCUGGAGGACAGACUCCAGUUGCUGGCCAGGUCCCUGUGGCAGCUGUGAUGGGAUCAGAUUCCCAGGAAAGGAGGAGGCUGCCACAUUUGCAAAGGGAGCAAAAAGGACAGGCAGGCAGCCUCUGAAACCAGAGACAGACACAGAGAGAAACAGAGAGUGAGAAAAUGCUCCCCCGAAGACAUAGUGAGAUUAUUUUCUGUAAACCUAUAAGGGAAGACAAAGUUACACAGUGAGUCCACCUUCUGAAAAGCAACAGGCAGACAGGACCGAGGACCAUGCUCUCAAGGGAAGCCGUGAUGAAGCCGGGAGGAGAGGCGCAUCCUCAGCAGAGCUUCCCUCCCUUUCACACGAGCUGACGGCGUGAACGAGGGUGUUGGGGUUGGUGCAACUAUAGAAGGGAAAGGCUGGGCGGGGGUCACACAUACCUCAGUGGCAGACAGGCAGGCGGCAGGCAGAGCGCGCUCUCUGGGCAGUCUGAAUGUCUGCGGGAAUGUGGAGGGGUUUAGAGACAGGCAACAGGAAACCACUCAGAGCUCUGGGCUGGGUCUAUCUCCCCUCCACCCCGUGGUCCCUCCUCCUCCUGUCUCCUCCUUCCCCCGGCCUCCUCCUUCUCCCGUAGCCAAAGCUGUCUCUGUCUUUCAUUUCUUUCCUCCUCUUUUUGCGGUGGGCUGUCCUGACCAAACGUCCCAACCCUGCCUGCCUCAUCUGUUCCGGGGCUGCUGCCUAAACCGACUCACAGAGUGCCAGGGCUGGACAGGCCUGGAGGGAUGACCCAGAACAGCCUCUUUCUUGUUCAGAGGGCAAGUGAGGCCUGGAGACUGCAAGGAAUUACCCAAUAGCCCCCAGGGGCAGAACCAGGCCCAAGUGUCUUGAUCUUCUAACCAGUGAGCUUUACAGGAGUCCUCCCUAAUAUUAGGCAAUGCUGAGAAGGGCCAAGCAAUUCAAGGGGGUUGUAUUUGCCACAAAGGCAAGGCCAGGACUUACCACUGUACAGACAAGACAGGCUGCUACUAGUGGUAUCAUCCUUGAUGAUUUGGAACUGGUCUUAAAAAAAAAAAUCCCAUUCAAACUCCACUUGUACCACCGAUAGACACAUAAGGGAUUAGACAUCUAGCUUGUGGACCUGUGCCACCAUUAUUGAACAGAUAAGGUAAUUGAUGAUAUUGAUGAUAAUCAUAGGAGUAACAAUAGCCACAGUUUACUGAGGAUUUAAUAAUCUUCACAGCAACCCCUUAUCUUAGACAUUGUAAUUAUGACCAUUUUAAUAAUAAGGAAACAUAGAAGCUAAGUAACUUGCCUAUGAUCACCUGGCAAAAAGUGGUAUGAGUGGGCUGAUUCUACAUUUCAACUUGGGUCACUCCUGUUGUAUAUGAACUGCUCAGUGCAACAGGUCUUGGUUGAAUAUUUAUUUCGUGCCUAAAACUCUGGGAGGUAUGAGAAUUAAUAAAUACCUGGUCCUCGUCCUCAAAAA